AGAACGAACGCUGGCGGCAUGCCUAAUACAUGCAAGUCGAACGAACUCUUCGGAGUUAGUGGCGCACGGGUGCGUAACGCGUGGGAAUCUGCCCUUGGGUUCGGAAUAAUAGUUGGAAACGACUGCUAAUACCGGAUGAUGACGAAAGUCCAAAGAUUUAUCGCCAGGGAUGAGCCCGCGUAGGAUUAGCUAGUUGGUGAGGUAAAGGCUCACCAAGGCGACGAUCCUUAGCUGGUCUGAGAGGAUGAUCAGCCACACUGGGACUGAGACACGGCCCAGACUCCGUACGGGAGCAGCAGUAGGAUAUGGACAGUGGGCAAAGCCUGAUCCAGCAAUGCCGCGUGAGUGAUGGAACGGCCGUUAGGGUAGUAAAGCCUUACGUUUACCCGAGUAUA
rnacentral:rRNA from 1 species